AUUUCUUUACCUUAAAGUGUCGACUUCUUCCCCAUAAACAGGAUCGCCAAUUUCUUCCUUCAAGUUUAAGUUCAUAAAGAAAUUUCAAAUAGUAGCUGCAAUACUUUGAUAAUAAAGGUUCGAGUGGCAGUGUAGAAUGAACAAGCAAAGACUUCUAUUUCAUUAAGCGUAUCAGGUGGGCUUACUAACUCAAGAAGUAAAGAUGCAUACUUUAUUAUAUAAAGUUUGAGUGCAUGCAUUUAUUUUCCAAUUAUUGACUUGCCAAUAUUUGAGAUUUGUAUGAUACCAUCUACAUAGAAGAACGAAUUCGGGUCCUGAGCGAGUCAGGAUUUGUGUACACAUAGUUGACAGUUAACCUUUGAGUUAGCUUGUCAUCGUGUUUGAGAAGGAGGCCUACUUCUCAACACUCAGAGUUA